rnacentral:rRNA from 1 species
UGGACCUCAGAUCAGGCAAGAUUACCCGC